CACAGAUAGACUUAAAGGAAGAACGCCCAUAUUGCCACACUGGGGAAGGCUUUGGGGCAUUUUUCUGCCCCCACAGGGCCAAGGAUGACACCGCCCCCUGUGGGCUGGGCCCACCCACGUCAAUCAUUAAUCAAGAAAAGGUGCUAUGGACUUGCCUACAGGCAACCUGAUAGACGUUCUUCUUCCAAGGAGCCCAAAGUUCCCUGACACUUCUCCCAAAGCAAACACACGCCGAAACCUCUGUCUGCUCCCCACCCGAACCUGUCCGUCACUGUCCUCAGCGUCUGCCUGUGCCCAGGCUCCUGACAAGUGUCUGCGAUGCUUACCCCUGUGAAACGUGGAUCCUGAGAUUACAGCUGAAGCAGAGAGAGGCAAUCCUAACCGUAAAGAAGAGGAAACAGACGGAUGUGAGAAAGAUCCUAGGCUGUAUUUACCAGUGCUCCAAUUAUUAUUAAAUUACAAAUUUUGUUAUUA